rnacentral:rRNA from 1 species
CCCUUAGAUGUUCUGGGCAGCACGCGCACUACAAUGGUCUUCGCAAACGGAUGCAUUCUCGAAGGAGAAUGCCAAUCUUGGAAUCUAUGCCUUGGUCGGGACAGUUGCUUGCAAUUUUUCGACUCGAACCAGGAAUUCCUUGUAAUCGUGAUUCAUCACAUCACGAUGAAUACGUCCCUGCCCUUUGUACACACCGCCCGUCGCUCCUACCGAUCGAAGAGUUAGGUGAAUUGUUUUGAUCGAUAAGAUUUGACUAUGGUCAACUCUCGUUGUGAAAUUCUGUGAAUCUGACUGUUUAGAGGAAGGAAAAGUCGUAACA